rnacentral:rRNA from 1 species
CCUACGGGUGGCAGCAGUGAGGAAUAUUGGUCAAUGGACGAGAGUCUGAACCAGCCAAGUAGCGUGAAGGAUGACUGCCCUAUGGGUUGUAAACUUCUUUUAUAUGGGAAUAAAAUGUUCCACGUGUGGGAUUUUGUAUGUACCAUAUGAAUAAGGAUCGGCUAACUCCGUGCCAGCAGCCGCGGUAAUCCGGGGGAUACGAGCGUUAUCCGGAUUUAGUGGGUUUAAAGGGAGCGUAGGUGGAUUGUUAAGUCAGUUGUGAAAGUUUGCGGCUCAACCGUGAAAUUGCAGUUGAAACUGGCAGGCUUGAGUACAGUAGAGGUGGGCGGAAUUCGAGGUGUAGCGGUGAAAUGCUUAGAGAUCACGAAGAACUCCGAUUGCGAAGGCAGCUCACUGGACUGCAACUGACACUGAGGCUCGAAAGUGUGGGUAUCAAACAGGAUUAGAUACCCCAGUAGUC